ACAUGUCUGCAACAUAGCGUUAAUGCAUUGGAUCCCAUUAGAACUCUGCAGUUAAGCACACUCGAGCUAGAGUAGUACUGUGAUGGGUGAUUGUCCGAGAAGUCCUAGUAUUUUACAUGUC
rfam:Picea glauca, whole genome shotgun sequence.